GAAAAACUUAGUUUUAUUCUAAAAACAUUAACUUGUCAAGUUAAAAAUAUCUGCACCCGUUAGUUUUUAA